UAGGGAAUCUUCCGCAAUGGACGCAAGUCUGACGGAGCAACGCCGCGUGAGUGAAGAAGGAUUUCGGUUCGUAAAACUCUGUUGUUAGAGAAGAACAGCGCAUAGAGUAACUGUUAUGCGUGUGACGGUAUCUAACCAGAAAGCCACGGCUAACUACGUGCCAGCAGCCGCGGUAAUACGUAGGUGGCAAGCGUUGUCCGGAUUUAUUGGGCGUAAAGCGAGCGCAGGCGGUCAAUUAAGUCUGAUGUGAAAGCCCCCGGCUCAACCGGGGAGGGUCAUUGGAAACUGGUUGACUUGAGUGCAGAAGAGGAGAGUGGAAUUCCAUGUGUAGCGGUGAAAUGUGUAGAUAUAUGGAGGAACACCAGUGGCGAAGGCGACUCUCUGGUCUGUAACUGACGCUGAGGCUCGAAAGCGUGGGUAGCAAACAGG
rnacentral:rRNA from 1 species